UAUUCAGUGUGGUUUGUCAUCACUUGUUGUGUAUAUAAAAAUAUUGUAAAACAUGAUGAUUGGUUUCACUGAGUGUGUGAUUAAAUUCCACGUUUGUCAAAAAAUUGCAACUUUUUGUGUAAUUAAUAUCUGAU
ensembl:snoRNA U8 U8 small nucleolar RNA